CCAAAAUCCCCAUAAAGGACCCCAAAGUGACCACAAAAGCCCCCAAAAUGACCCCAAAUGCCCCCAAAGUGACCCCAAAAGCCCCCAAAAUGAUCCCAAAAUCGCCUCACUGACCCCAAAUAACCCCAAAAUCCCCAUAAAGGACCCCAAAGUGACCCCAAAUGCCCCCAAAGUGACCCUAAAAUCCCAUAAAUGCCCCCAAAUGCCCCCAAAUGAUCCCCAAGUGACCCCAAAUGACCCCAAAAUCCCCAUAAAUGACCCCAAAAUCCCCCAAAUGAACCCAAAAUCCCCCAAAAUGACCCCAAAAGCCCCCAAAAUGACCCCAAAAUCGCCCCACUGACCCCAAAUAACCCCAAAAUCCCCAUAAAUGACCCCAAAGUGACCCCAAAUGCCCCAAAAUGACCCCAAAAUCCCCAUAAAAAACCCCAAAGUGACCCCAAAUGCCCCAAAAUGACCCCAAAAUCCCCAUAAAGGACCCCAAAGUGACCCCAAAAGCCCCCAAAAUUACCCCAAAAUCCCCAUAAAGGACCCCAAAGGACCCCAAAUGAUCCCCAAGUGACCCCAAAUGACCCCAAAAUCCCCAUAAACGACCCCAAAUGCCCCCAAAGUGCCCCCAAAAGCCCCCAAAAUGACCCCAAAAUCGCCCCACUGACCCCAAAAAGCCCCCAAAAUGACCCCAAAGUGACCCCAAAUGCCCCCAAAAUGACCCCAAAAUCUCCCCAGUGACCCCAAAUAACCCCAAAAUCCCCAUAAAGGACCCCAAAGUGACCCCAAAUGCCCCCAAAAUGACCCCAAAAUCGCCCCACUGACCCCAAAAAGCCCCCAAAAUGACCCCAAAAUCCCCAGAAUUGACCCCAAAUAACACCAAAAUCCCCAUAAAGGACCCCCCAAAUGACCCCAAAUGCCCCCAAAGUGACCCUAAAAUCCCCAUAAAGGAGCCCAAAGUGACCCCAAAUGCCCCAAAAUGACCCCAAAAUCCCCAUAAAGGACCCCAGAAGAUCCCAAAGUGACCCCAAAAGCCCCAGAAAUGCCCUCAAAGUGACCCCAAAUGACCCCAAAAGCCCCCAAAAUGACCCCAAAAUCGCCCCACUGACCCCAAAUAACCCCAAAAUCCCCAUAAAGGACCCCAAAGUGACCCCAAAUGCCCCAAAAUGACCCCAAAAUCCCCAUAAAGGAUCCCAAAGUGUCCCCAAAUGCCCCCAAAGUGACCCUAAAAUCCCAUAAAUGCCCCCAAAGUGACCCCAAAUGACCCCAAAAUCCCCAUAAAUGACCCCAUAAAUGCCCCCCA
ensembl:lncRNA